rnacentral:SRP_RNA from 1 species
GCCGGCACGCUGGCUCGUGCCUGCAAUCCCAGCUGCUGGGGAGCAGAAGCUGGUGGAUCACUUGAGCAGGGGAGCUCUGGGCUGCCUUGUGCCCUGCUGAGCAGGUGUCCACCCUAGGGCUAGCACCAACCUGCUGGUGUGUGGGGAGCUGCAGGUCCCCAGGUCGGCUAAGCAAGUGAACCAGCUCCGGCCAGGAAUGGUGCAGGUCAAAGCUCCUGUGCUGACCAGUGCUGGGACAGCACCUGCGAAUGGCCCUUGUGCCCAGCCUGGACAAGAGAGGGGGCUCAACCUCUU